AUUGAACGCUGGCGGCAUGCCUUACACAUGCAAGUCGAACGGUAACAGGUCUUCGGAUGCUGACGAGUGGCGAACGGGUGAGUAAUACAUCGGAACGUGCCUAGUAGUGGGGGAUAACUACUAGAAAGAGUGGCUAAUACCGCAUGAGAUCUACGGAUGAAAGCAGGGAAUCGCAAGACCUAGUGCAACUAGAGCGGCAGAUGGCAGAUUAGGUAGUGGGUGGGAUAAAAGCUUACCAAGCCGACGAGCUGUAGCUGGGCUGAGAGGACGAUCAGGCACACUGGGACUGAGACACGGCCCAGACUCCUACGGGAGGCAGCAGUGGGGAAUUUUGGACAAUGGGCGAAAGCCUGAUCCAGCAAUGCCGCGUGCAGGAUGAAGGCCUUCGGGUUGUAAACUGCUUUUGUACGGAACGAAAAGCCCCGGGUUAAUACCCUGGGGUCAUGACGGUACCGUAAGAAUAAGCACCGGCUAACUACAUGCCAGCCGCCGCAGUAA
rnacentral:rRNA from 1 species